UGCGCAGGCGGGCUUGUAAGUCAGUGGUGAAAUACUGCCGCUCAACGGUAGAACUGCCAUUGAUACUGCAAGUCUUGAAUAUGGUUGAGGUAGGCGGAAUGUGUCGUGUAGCGGUGAAAUGCAUAGAUAUGACACAGAACGCCAAUUGCGAAGGCAGCUUACUAAGCCAUUAUUGACGCUGAGGCACGAAAGCGUGGGGAGUGAACAGGAUUAGAUACCCUGGUAGUCC
rnacentral:rRNA from 1 species